UAGAUUCCCUGUAAGGAGCCUCUGAAAGAGUGAUACAUGAGGCUAUGAUGGUGAAGCACUGGCUGGAAUAUGAACCCUCAGUAUUGGAGGUGCUAAGAACAUGAGAACACCUGCAGAGGAGAAUUGCAGCCAACAACUGCAUACACUGAAGAGUGAGGCCACAGAAGCCAAAAAUAAUAAUACCAUCGUUAUAGGGCGGCCCAACCCAGUUAGAACCUACUGCACACGGAGGCCAAGGGCUUUCUUUAUGUACAUUAUCUUCUUUCAUUCUUGCCUUCUGUAAGAUCAUGCAAUACUCAUCUUGGCCCCAAUUUAUAUAUGAGCACAAGUUUUGGGUGCAAGGCUCUCAGGUAUUCUGCUGGAGUCUAGAGAGACCAGUCAGAUAAUCAGUAAGUUAAUGAACAACCACAGUCAGCAGGGAGAGGUGCCCUGAACCAGUAUGCAACUCUCUCUGCUAGGUGGAGAUUCCCCAGGAAGUGUAGCCUGAGGCAAGAAGAAGUUGUUGAGAAACUACAUUACAGGGAGUGGGAUGAGCUGCCAGAAGGAACAGACCUGGAAGAACCUUGAUAUAGAUGCUGGGAUUUCAGUUGAUGUUUAUUCACUCAGAGUUGCCUACCUGGUCAGUUACUGUUGACAUCGAGGUGAAACGUGUCCCCUCAGCACAGAAACCAGGCCCUUCAAGGGCCUUUCCACAGAUAAACUCCCCCCUCUCUCGUCCCCGUGAUGAAGAGAAAGGAAAACAGAAAACAGUUAAGGUAUUCAAGACAUGGAGCCCUCCAGAACAGCUAGAAGAACCAUUGGCAACAGAGGUAAUUGCUUGUCUCAUGGUAUAAAGAUACCUACUGUGGGAAUAGCAAAUGGGAAGCUCACCCAUGUAACUGGAAACCUCACAAGGCAAUAACUGAGUAACAAGUUUUAGUUACAUUGUAUUCCUGUUGCAAGACAUCACUGCCAGAGCUACUCAUAAAAGACAGCAUUAAAUUGGACUCACGUUU